CAAGCUGGCGGCAUGCCUAUACAUGCAGUCGAGCGGAGUGACGAGAGCUUGCUCUCUGAUUUUAGCGGCGGACGGGUGAGUAACACGUGGGCAACCUGCCCUACAGAUGGGGAUAACUCCGGGAAACCGGGGCUAAUACCGAAUAAUCAGUUUGUCCGCAUGGACAAACUCUGGAAGACGGUUUCGGCUGUCACUGUAGGAUGGGCCCGCGGCGCAUUAGCUAGUUGGUGGGGUAAUGGCCUACCAAGGCAACGAUGCGUAGCCGACCUGAGAGGGUGAUCGGCCACACUGGGACUGAGACACGGCCCAGACUCCUACGGGAGGCAGCAGUAGGGAAUCUUCCACAAUGGACGAAAGUCUGAUGGAGCAAUGCCGCGUGAGCGAAGAAGGUUUUCGGAUCGUAAAGCUCUGUUGUAAGGGAAGAACACGUACGGGAGUAACCGCCCGUGCCAUGACGGUACCUUAUUAGAAAGCCACGGCUAACUACGUGCCAGCAGCCGCGGUAAU
rnacentral:rRNA from 1 species